rnacentral:rRNA from 1 species
UUGGAUUUCGGGUAGGGGGCGCCGGUCCGCUUCGGUGUGCACUGGCGGCCCAUACCUUCUUGUCGGGGAUGCGCUCUGGUAUUGGUUUAUCGGACGCAGAGUCGGGGCUGUUACUUUGAAAAAAUUAGAGUGUUCAAAGGAGGGUUUCGCUUGAAUACAUUAGCAUGGAAUAACAUGAUAGGACUCCGGUUCCAUUGUGUUGGUCUUCGGGACUGGAGUAAUGAUUAAGAGGGACAGUUGGGGGGAUUCGUAUUUCAUUGUCAGAGGUGAAAUUCUUGGAUUUAUGAAAGACGAACUUCUGGGAAAGCAUUUGGCAAGGAUGUUUUCAUUAAUCAAGAACGAAAGUUGGGGGGUCGAAGAUGAUUAGAUACAUCGUAGUCUCAACUAUAAACGAUGGCCGACUAGGGAUUGGCGGAUGUUACUUGAUGAUUUUGCCGGAUUUUGUGAGAAAUUAAAGUUUUUGGGUUCCGGGGGGAGUAUGGUCGCAAGGGUGAAAUUUAAAGGAAUUGACGGAAGGGGACCACCAUGGCGUGGAGCCUGGGGCUUAAUUUGACUCAACACGGGGAAACUUACCAGGUCCAGACACAAUAAUGAUUGACAGAUUGAUAGCUCUUUCUUGAUUCUGUGGGUGGUGGUGCAUGGCCGUUCUUAGUUGGUGGAUUGAUUUGUC